AUGGCUCAGUGGUUAAGAGCGCUUGACUGCUCUUCCAGAGGUCCUGAGUUCAAUUCUCAGU
rnacentral:tRNA from 1 species